rnacentral:rRNA from 1 species
GACGUGACUUCAGAGUUUGAUCCUGGCUCAGGACGAACGCUGGCGGCGUGCUUAACACAUGCAAGUCGAGCGGGGAACUGUGGAAUGAAGCUUCGGCAGAAUGAAACAGUUUCUAGCGGCGGACGGGUGAGUAACGCGUGAGCAAUCUGUCCCAGACAGGGGGAUAACAGAUGGAAACAUCUGCUAAUACCGCAUAAGACCACGAGGCGGCAUCGCCUUGAGGUAAAAGAUUUAUCGGUCUGGGGUGAGCUCGCGUCCCAUUAGCUAGUUGGUGAGGUAACGGCCCACCAAGGCGACGAUGGGUAGCCGACCUGAGAGGGUGAUCGGCCACAUUGGAACUGAGACACGGUCCAG